rnacentral:rRNA from 1 species
GACGAACGCUGGCGGCGUGCUUAACACAUGCAAGUCGAACGGAAAGGCCCUGCUUUUGUGGGGUGCUCGAGUGGCGAACGGGUGAGUAACACGUGAGUAACCUGCCCUUGACUUUGGGAUAACUUCAGGAAACUGGGGCUAAUACCGGAUAGGAGCUCCUGCUGCAUGGUGGGGGUUGGAAAGUUUCGGCGGUUGGGGAUGGACUCGCGGCUUAUCAGCUUGUUGGUGGGGUAGUGGCUUACCAAGGCUUUGACGGGUAGCCGGCCUGAGAGGGUGACCGGGCACAUUGGGACUGAGAUACGGCCCAGACUCGUACGGGAGGCAGCAGUGGGGAAUAUUGCACAAUGGGCGGAAGCCUGAUGCAGCAACGCCGCGUGCGGGAUGACGGCUUUCGGGUUGUAAACCGCUUUCGCCUGUGAUGAAGCGUGAGUGACGGUAAUGAGUAAAGAAGCACCGGCUAACUACGUG